rnacentral:rRNA from 1 species
UUGAACGCUGGCGGAAUGCUUUACACAUGCAAGUCGAACGGCAGCACGGGGGCAACCCUGGUGGCGAGUGGCGAACGGGUGAGUAAUGUAUCGGAACGUACCCAGUCGUGGGGGAUAACUAUCCGAAAGGAUAGCUAAUACCGCAUACGUCCUGAGGGAGAAAGCGGGGGAUCGCAAGACCUCGCGCGAUUGGAGCGGCCGAUAUCGGAUUAGCUAGUUGGUGAGGUAAAGGCUCACCAAGGCGACGAUCCGUAGCGGGUCUGAGAGGACGACCCGCCACACUGGAACUGAGACACGGUCCAGACUCCUACGGGAGGCAGCAGUGGGGAAUUUUGGACAAUGGGCGCAAGCCUGAUCCAGCCAUGCCGCGUGCGGGACGAAGGCCUUCGGGUUGUAAACCGCUUUCAGCCGGAAAGAAAUCGUCAAGGCUAAUAUCCUUGAUGGAUGACGGUACCGGAAGAAGAAGCACCGGCUAACUACGU